GGAGGGGUGGCAGAGCGGCUGAAUGCACUGGUCUUGAAAACCAGCGUGGGUUAAUAGCUCACCGAGAGUUCAAAUCUCUCCUCCUCCGCCA
rnacentral:tRNA from 1 species